CAAGGGGAACAGUCAGUCUUGGGCAUGCUCAGUAGUGCUCAUGGCUGGGAAGGCCUAUGACCCUUGACCCCAGCUUCUCCCAGGUUAGGCGGGAAAACAGGUUUCUUUGUUCUCACCUGGUUAAGAGAAACCACACCUAUGCUUUGUCAUUAACCAAUGAGAAUCAUCCCUAUGUACUGUGUAUAUUUGCAUAUCAAAAACUAUAUCUAGCCCAGCUGGCUCCGCCUUCUCUCUCUCUGCUCUCUGCCCUCUGCUCUCUGCUCGCUCCUUCUCUUUCAGGCUACCUGAUGGCUGUCCUUGCAGGAGCUUGGCCUCUGGCCAAGCUCCAUCUUUAAUCUUUCUCUAUUCACCUCUCUGACCUGCGUGGAAUGGAUCUCAGGACUGGAAUAGCCUACUGAAUUGGUCCUUUGAUCAGAGCUUAGCUGUGGCUCAUCGAUAAUUAAUAAAGACUCAUCCUGAACACCUCAUAUCUCUACUAGGACUCCGUCACUUCCCUCGUGGUAUCAAAACUUCUAUCCUGUCUCUAUCUUCCUACCUUGUGGCUUCUCUCACCUCUGAGAGAGCUACAAAUGGCGCCCAAACGUGCUUAGGGCCCACUCCUAGCACUCUCGUGGCAUUCCACUCUUUUAUUUCACACAGCGAAUGGGAGAACGCGUUCGAGGACACGAGGCUAAUAGUAGGCGGGUGCCGGAAGUCCAGGAAGGUUGCCGAUCCUCUGGCCAAGGACGGUAAGUCCUCCUCUGCUUGAGGUGGGUCUCCCCUCUGAACCCUGCUCGACUCCUAAUGUCGUAGCUUGAUGGGGGAGAAAUGGAAGUCUCAAGAGCUUAAUUGCCUGAGACGGUGAAUCAGGAUGAGGGAAGCACACGAUCGGUCAGAGAGGGAUUCUUAAACUAUCUCUGUCAGGGAGGUGCAGUUUCCCUCCCCCACCUGGGUCUGCUAGUCGGAGGCCUCCUCUCUCGGACCUGGAUCUCCGGAGGUUAAGAAACACCUGAGGAGUGGUCUGAGGGGGAGGGGAAGAAAAAGGACAUUUGACCCAGGGAAACCCUCACUAGGGGCGAUUGAGAACUUGAAAAAUCUCAGUCUGAAACAAACAGUUGCUAGAGCCUAGUGAAUUUCAAAAGGAGCAACUGGGAAAAGAAAAAGCAGGAGUUAAAAUUUCAUCAGGAAAGCAAAGUCAAAUUUACCUGCUAUUCAUACGCAAAAGCGGGAAAGGCUAGCGAAGAAGCAAGGCAGAAACUGCUGCAGAAUGCUAAGGAGUUCUUUCUUAAGCACUUCUUAUUUCAAAAGUUCUGCAAGCUAACCUUUACAAGAAACUCCCGGUGCCUUUUCAGGAGAGGUCGGACUCAGAUGCAUUUGAAAGGCCUAUCAGGAAGUGGUUGCUUUAACUGAAAGCAGGGCAUUUAAAAGAUCAGAAUUACUUGGAAAAAACGAUAAAAAACAAAAAAAUUUUUUCCUAAUAAAACCGUAGUUCUCAGCACAAUUAAGGAAUCAAGGUAAUAAUCCUGAAUUAGGUUAAAUUCGGAACAGCCUAAGUUGUAAAAAGAUAUUGCCAUCCUGUAACCAAAGGCAGAAGAUUUUUUUUAAAAAAAGCAAGUCCUAGGGACUCUUUUGUUUGAGGUCCAGCCAGGUAAAGGCAGGCUUUACCUGGGCGAUUGCAAAUACAGUAAAGUAAGAUUUGGGAAUUUGAAUUUUAAUUUAGUUUUAAUUUAAGUUGGAUGUAGGCAAAAUUAUAAAGGAAUGUCUGCUUAUAUUUUUUGGAUAAAGGAAGUUAAAAAAGGAGAAUUAAAAAAUCUUUCUCUGACUUUUGUUAUAUGCCACAGAAUAUCAGGACUAGAAAUGUUUUAUCUGUAGAGAAAUUUUGGUAUAAAUCACAAGGUAAUUAAAGUGCAAACAGAAAAUUUUUAAGGUUUGGGCUUAAAUCUGAAGCAGCUUGAAAUGUUUUUUCUCUACCGGCCACGUGGCUGGAGCCACGUGGAAGAUAGCGUCAGAGCAACUGAGGUUGCAAGUUGUAUCACUAAGGCUGUAAUUGGCUAGAAGGAAAACUUUAAUAUUAAGAUAUAAUAAGCAUGAAUUGGAAUAUGAUUUAAAGGAAUUUCUAAAGCUUUCUAAUUUUAACUAUGGAGGAAUUAUUAACACUUUUCUAAGCAGGACAUAAAGCAACAGGAUGAAUCUUGAGCAGAGCUUAUUCAAACAGCCUGUAUGCAGUUCAGAAACUUUUUACUGGGCAUAUUACUAUACCUGUAUCCAGAAAGCAAAUGAUUUAUAACUAGAAUAGCUUUUACUAUGGAAAAUUAAGACACAUGCUCAGCAGGGUAAAAGCAUGGUUAGAAGGAUUCAAUCUGUUUACCAGUGGUUAAUUAUUAAGGUUAUCAGGAACUCUGUUACUCAGUACAGUAAUUUAUUAAGGAUUUGAAAGAGGCAAUACUAUCAUGUAUUAAAAUUGCAGAUAUUGAAGCUGAUCAUGAUAUUGAAAAGAGACCUAUGAUAAUAAUGCAAAUUCAAAGGUUACUGGCAUAAUUUGAUUUAUUUCUGCAGUGAAGAUUUGCAGAAUUAGCAGAUGAAAGUAAUGAUUUUAGUCACAGUAUUAAGAUCUUUUCAGUUAUGAAGCUAAGGGCAGUAGUUCAGAAAUAACAACUUCUGUGCAAUUGUUUGAUAAUUCUGUGCAUAUUUUUACAGCAUAAGACGAUGCUAUAAUUUUAAUAAAUGCACAAGGUGGAAAUUUUUCAAAAGCAAAAAUUGUGUGCAGGCAGACAAAGGCUUAAGAUCCCAGCACACAUGGGUCAAUUCACAAGUGAUUUCUAGUAUGAUAUUUUUAUGAUUAUGGGUUUGAAAAAGCAGAUAUUUAAGCAUCUAUACAUGCUGCUUUGCAAAAUCUAUUGUACAUCUAUAUCCUGAACAAGCAGGUGAUAUCGCUUAUCAAUGCAAACUGCUGUGGAUUAAUUUCACCCCUGAGGAAUAUCCACUGUAUAUUGUGGAGCAAAAGGUGCAUUUCAGUAUGCUCCUGGCACAAAGGUUGAACUGUGAAAAGUGAUGGGAGAUACUUACUCUCCUGGUUUAUGGGUUCAAGCUCAAAUGAAGAAGUGAGCAAAGUGAUUGCAGAUUUUAUGAAUAACUGUGCACUACUGUCUAUUCCAAACAGCUUGGAAUAGCAGGGCUUUUAACAGCAAUGCAAAGGCUAAAUGGCAUAGCUCAUGGCUUACAUGCAAGCUAUGGUACAAAGAGCUCAAAGGAAUUCAUGAGCCCCAAGGUUCAAAAACUGAAGGUAUAUCUGUUCUGUCACUUUCUAACUCUCUUAAGACCCAAUGAGGCUUUCAUUUGGGGUCGAGGUCUUGUUUAUAUGUUCACAGAUAAUGAAAACAUCUGGUCUCCCACGUCAUGCUUCAUGCCAGCUGAUACAGACCAGGAAGAGAAGCAGACGGAAGGUGAUGGCAUCAGCUAUCUACAUGCCAGCCACAAUCCAGACUCGCUGGAAGGACACUUCUUUGGUGACUAAUAUCACUCUAGAACAAUGACAUUACACUAUUAGAGACAUUGGCUAUUAGGCCACUGAUGGACACUUGUCAUGCUGACAUCCAUUGAGAUGGGGUACCCAGAGCAACAUCAAGUAUGCUAACUCAGAAGGACUAAAUCACACUUGUGUCUGUACAAGACACCAGAUACAUCCCACACUCCAAGGACUUUGCGAUGGGAUUGAGAUGAAAUAGCUACUAAUUGUCUAGCUACUAAAGUAUACCUUGUAUUUUGUAUAUGAUACUGUCAAAGGGAAUUUUGUAUGCAUUAUGAAUUGUAUGCAUUGUAAAGCUACCACUUAUAUUGUAAGAAUUGCUGUUAUCAACAAGGGUAUAGACCUUGGUAGGACUCUCCAAAGAGCAGGAGAUAGAAAACUUUCAUUCAUAGCAUAGAUCUGAUAUUUCUGACAUCAAAAAUGAGGUGCUAAGCAGAAAAUGCUGCACAGACAGGUUUAAUGGACAGAUGACACUGAUGUUACUCUCGAGAAAGGAUGAGAGAUCAGGUAAAAGACACUAGGAAAUCUUUAAUCAGGAACUUGAGUUAUUGUAAGAGAUCAUUGACAUCCAGGCAAAGAUUAUGUUCCUGACAUUACAUUAAGGGCUGACUACCAUAGCAGUAGUUAACUGUUAAUACCAUGGUUAACCAUUACUCCUGAUACCCUGUUUUUGUGGGUAAUAUCUUGAUAGGAAAAACGUCUUGCUCUCCUCCAACAGUCCCAGAAUUCAGACGGCCGCUGGAUUCGGGAUCUAUUGGCUUCCCUUUCAUAUACUGGAAGACGUUCUGGUAUAUGGAAGUAAGACCUCAUGAAAAACUGAGGGCUCUAGGUUUGACAAUUUCUGUGGACGCGCAGUCAUUGUCUCUCCUAGGUGGAAAAAAUUAUUAUUGCACAAAAACAUGGAGCAAGGGCAAAGUAUAAUCUAAGUUUUACUGUUUUGGAGUAUGGAUUAAAAACAUGACACAAUAGGCACAGAUAAGCGUGCAGAAAAAGCACAUUGAAUAUUAUUCACUGACAAUUAGGAAUGAAAAAGCUAUGUCAAAUGCUGUAGGUACAAGAAACUGUAGAAAUUGUUUCUACAUGGGAAACAACUUAAGCUUCUAUUUACCCAAACAUUGGUUUGGUGGAAUGAAUCUUGCAAAUAUUGAUAAUGGUAUAGGCUUGGUUAUCAUAUUGAUGGGUUUAUUUAUACAAGCAGAGAUUUAAAAUAAGGAAGACAUUAGGAAUAUGCAGUCAGAACUUGAAAUAUUACUUCAUUAUCACCAUCAUGGUUAUUUAAGCUACAAUUGAGAAUGUAAAAUGGAUGGGAAUAUUGGUAUUUGUUAAAAAUUGCACUGUGAUUGAUGUAUUGAUGUUUUUGCAAAGCCUGUAAUGGUGCAAAAUUAUGUUCAUAUACAAGGCGAAUUUUGAUCUAUUUA